rnacentral:rRNA from 1 species
UACGUAGGGUGCAAGCGUUGUCCGGAAUUAUUGGGCGUAAAGGGCUCGUAGGCGGUUUGUCGCGUCGGGAGUGAAAACGCCGUGCUUAACACGGCGCUUGCUUUCGAUACGGGCAGACUAGAGGUAUGCAGGGGAGAACGGAAUUCCUGGUGUAGCGGUGAAAUGCGCAGAUAUCAGGAGGAACACCGGUGGCGAAGGCGGUUCUCUGGGCAUUACCUGACGCUGAGGAGCGAAAGUGUGGGGAGCGAACAGG